UGCAUCUCGCAUUAAUGUUGCUCUAAGUGGUUCUGGCACCGGAUUAGAUUCUUCAGAUUCCACAUCGUCUGGCCGUGGUAUAUCUCGCUUGUGAGGGGAAACGGGAGUAAGGGAAAGAAGGUAGGACACUGUUUUCAGUGUCCCUCUAACCUACUUUUUCCUCUCGUCCUCUUAAAGAAUUGCACCCAUCCACAAUGAGGCCUCUGUUUGAACAGCGGGAUCAUCUACACUCACAUCAGUAAAGAGCCUCUCAGAGAAAAUCGACGACAAAAAUAAUACAUGUUCUUUCAGUUAGUCCUUUUCUGAUCUCUCGUUGAUUUGUUUUAAAAGCUUUUUUUGUUUGUUUGGGGGUUUUUUUUGCUCAUAUUCUCAAGCAUUACUGUCACUGACUACGUUUACAUGGACAGCAGUAAUCUAAUUAUUGACCUUAUUCUGAAUAAGACAAUAUUGUGAUUAAAUUGUUUACAUGAGCUGCUUUUAGAAUACUCCUUUCAUGUUCCCGUUUUACAUGUUAUAGAACAUAGAGCGAUUAACGGCACACGUCAUUACGUCCCCGCGCCACACCGUCCGACGUUCUCUCCAGAAUUUCACGUAUCGACAUAUAGUUGAUACGUGACCAUCUUCGUUAUGGUACCGUAUACAGUUUUGGGUGUUUCAUUAUUAAUUUUAUGAAAGCUUCAAGUGUAGUUAAUUAUUUGUCGUGCUGUACGUGCAAAUAGACGACUGCUUGAAGCCGUGGGCUGCGUCCCAAACCGCGUACUUACCUACUAUAAAUUAGCUGAAAUACAUGUAUUUCGCCAACUAUAUAGGAAGUAAGUGCGCGGUUUGGGAUGCAGCCCUGCUCUCUUGUUUACUGUUAUAUGGUUGAGCACUGCCGUGUUGCCGUGUUAAGGUGUGUGCAUGUCUGUAACGCACCUCGAUAAUGCGACUAAAACAGGAAUACUCCACAUUUCUUAAUUCCAUUUGUGUUUACUUCGUGUAUGCGUUAAUCAGAUUAAACUCCCCUAUAAUCGCUGUUUACAUGCUAGUUUCUUAAUCAGAAUAUCGUCUUAAUCGGUUAAUAUCGGAUUAUUGUCGUCUGUGUAAACGUACUGAGUGUGAAUGACGGUUGUGGGUCUAUUUGCUUCACACCAACAUUACCACCAUUAGGUGCCUCUGAGAAUAUUAGAAUUUUGGCUACUGUGCACUGUGUAACCCACCUAAACACUUCAGUAUAAGUAGACCACUGCCAAAUAUUGUGUUUACUUAAACAUUGCUUCACACUUUAGCUCAGUUGCGUUGCCUGUGCACGACAUGCGAUUCUAAAGUCGUUCCAUAUGCUGUUCUGCGUGCACUACACAUUUACGUCUCUCCAAGGCUGGAAGCUGGUUUUAAUCAGGCAGUUCUCAGGGCAGCUUCAUAUGCUGUAGGUUUAGCUAAUGAAGUGUUCGGUGACAUUCUCCUUUGACAUCGAGCUCAGACCAGUUCUGUAGUUUAGUAUAAUGAUAUUACAAAUGGUUUGCUUUGAGUGGAGGAAACUUGUUCUUGAUCAUGGCAGACACACCAUUUCUGCCAGUCUGUACUGAGAGAAAGUAAAGGAAAUCUCUUAAGCUUUGAAUAAGUCAGUCUAUUGCUAUUAGCAUAAUGCUCACAGGAAUAUAUUUUCUCCACAGUUUUGUUAUUGGCCAAACCAACCAGCUCUUCCAUGUCACACAACAACUAACCGGGUAAACACAUCUUUGCUCCGAGUCACGUAAAAGAAGCUGGCCGACCACAUCUUUCAAACUGCUGCUCACAGGGCAGAGUGACACACUCCAGGGAAAGCAGUAUCCACCCUCUUACUCAUACAUGAACUCACAGACACCCGGGAUUGGCUAGUGUCGCUGUGCUGUACAAGGAAGAGAGUGUAUGCCACCUCUCCCACCUGGAGAGCAUAGCCAACUUUGUUCCACUGUCAGGAUUUUAUCUCGCCGUCUCCCAAUAAUAGAUGUAAAUGUCCACCAAUUGAACUAUUGAAUCCCAACUGAGUUGUGAAAUUCUGGGUUGAGUUUUUAAUGAAGCCCUAAAAGAAUUGUUGAUGUGUUUAUUAACUGAAAUGCAAAUUCUAAAUUCAGUUAUAGGUUGUCUUGAUGUCACAUGACUUGAGCCAUGUAUGUCUGAGAAACAAAUCAGAAAGCUCUUUUUAAAACUACAGAAAUACAGAUACACACAGCAAAAUCCCCAGUGUUGAUUUAACACCCAGAGUGUUGAAUGCACACCCUACAGUGUUUAUAUAAGUCCACUGGACACAAAUGAACACUCUGGGUGUUAACUCAACACUAUGGAUUUUACUGUGCAGCCAUGGCCAAAACUAGCAAUGAGGACACUGAGGUCCAGACCUCGGUGGUUCCAGAACCCGCAUCGCUUAUCUCCGUCGUGAUAACGUAGUGCCAGAAUGUAGUCUGCUAUGCGGAAAAACAUGCAAGCUACAAUGGCUACAAAACCAGCAGUGAUGAUUAGCUCUAAACUGACUCCUUAAUCAUCCAUUAUAUUUAGAGGACAAGCAAGAGGACAACCCUACGCACUGGAGCUAAUAACAGGAUAACGCUAAACCAAAAUAUUAAUCAAAUAAAAUUCAACUGUCUAACUUUAACUCUUUUGAAUGUAUGAAUGAAUAAAGUAGGUUUGAAUGUAUGUAUGAAUAAGGUAGGUUUGAAUGUAUGUAUGAAUAAGGUAGGUUUGAAUGGCAUAGAUUCAGUUUCGCCACCAUUUGUUUUUGUUUUUUAGCACAACCUCAGCUUUUAGACAUUUAGACAUUUCUGUUAUCUACAGUUCAGCAAAUUUCACAGGUCCUGUGUCCUGAGUAGACUCAUAGGUAGCUUCAUAUCCUGUAUAUUCCAGAGAAUAAACAUUGAUACUUCCUAAAGUAACAGGCACACAAAGAUAUCUCAUUUUGUGUCAUUUUCUCUGAUUAUUUCUACAUGCAAUCACCUCAGAGUUAUUUACGGGAAUAUGACAUGACGUCAUCGGGAUGGUGUCGAUUCCAGUGGUGAGGUUUAUGGAAGAUGGAAGUAUAACAUAACAGAGAUCAGAAACUGAUGUAUUCGGUACAUUGUGGUAUAUUAACCGGGAUGCAGACCGCACUAAAAUAUCGAUCCUGGUUAUGGCUUUGGAUAAAACUACUAUAGUUGGUACCUGCGAUUAUAUUAUUGCUAUAUUAAUAUGAUUAUACUGCUACAUUUAGCUAAUCCUGGCAUGAGAUGUGCACAUAAUUGUGAUCAGUGUGACAAUUUACCAACUGCCGAUGAUCCUAAAUCUAUACAUUUAACACUCUUUUAAUGUAUAUUUCAGUAUAAAUCAGUUUUAAAGAUGAUAAUUGAAUGUAGUUUAACAUUAAGUAUAUUUUAAAAUGAAACAAAAAAAUGAUAUAUGUAGAUAUUAAAGUUCUCCAUUUUUAUUGCCAUUACCACACUAUUGUUUGUUUACACAAGAAAGGAAACAAAUAGGUUUUUGUACGUUUUUAAACCGCUUCUGCUAACAAUUUGUGAAAAUCUGUGAAUUUGUGAGUCACUUGUCACUCACAUCACGGGCAAAAUGAUGAUUUUUAUGGGUUUUAAAAGGCAGAAAGGGAGUUUGCAUUCCUUGCUUGGGAAUUACAAGAGGUGGGGGAUAGUGAAGGUGGGAUAAAGUGGAAUACUGUGUGUGUGUGUGUGUGUGUGUGUGUGUGUGUGUGUGUGUGUGUGUGUGUGUGUGCAAACUGACGGACUCAGUGGCCUGAAGCCUGAUACUGGCCCCCCAUUCGCAGCUGCUCCUUCACGCCCACCCUUUCACCGCCCCCCCACCCCCCCACCCGCCUUCCUCCCUCUGCGUCUUUCUGCCUGUCUGUCUCUCGCACUUUUCCUUUAGGAUCAACUGACUUAAGACCCAGAACAUGGGCAGGGAAUGGACUAGGACUUGAGAAACAGAAGACAUAAGAAGAGGAAGCAGAGAGAGUGAGAGAAAGAGAGCGAGAGAGCUGGAGAGAGAGAGCGAGAGAAUUAGAGAAAGAAGACAAGUUGGUAGAAUGAAUGGAGAGAGCUGGAGGAGGCUGAUGUGGGAGUUUGAUAAAGUGUGUGUAUCCUGAAGUGUGUAGGUGUUUAUUUUGUGUGUGCGCUCUGAUGUCUGCCUGUGCGUGGGGGUGUGUUUGUGUGUUUGUGCGGGUGCGUGUGUGUUUGUGUGUGUGUGUGUGUGUGUGUGUGUGUUUGUGUGUGUGUGUGUGCGUUUCCCAUUGCCCAAGGCUGGUCCUGCCAAUUCAGCAGUGAUGAGUGAGGCUAAAUUAUUUAGCUAUACUGUGCUGGACUGUCUCCAGUGAAAUGCCUUGACUGGUCCCCUGUGUGUGUGUGUGUGUGUGUGUGUGUGUGUGUGUGUGUGUGUAAACACUUGAACGCAUACAGCGUACCACACGCUCUGGAUGGAUCUCGCUCUUUUAAAAGACUGAACAAAAACCAAUGCCUUUAAACAAAUCCUAUUUGAAUAUUAAUUAAAGGUAUACUCCAGUGUUUUUCAAACUCUUUUUUUUUUUUUUUUUAAAUCACGUCUGACUGGUACAGACCGUUAACACCGACUAACACAAUAGGUUCAAUACAUUUUUCCUGGUAAAUAGGAAAGGAUAAAAGUUCUCCACGAGUGCCCCAACAACUGCCCAUAGUCUGUCAUUAUAAAUAACGUUUAAGCCAGCAGGAUUUCUGUUCUUUUCUCCGUAAAAGGACAUGUCUGUCGAAAUUGUAGUAUAAUUUGCCCAAAGAUAGAUAUUAGGUUGCAAAACAGUGGAUUAUUCCUUUAAUGCUUUGAAGCAAAUUGUAUACCAUGCCUCAGAUUUGACAGCAUUAGUAUCUGUGUAAUCAUUUCUGAAUGGAAAUGGAUUGAAGAUGCUGAUCAGUGCAGUGCAGCAAACACACAAAGCGGUAGAAACCCGUUAAACAAACAAUAUCUGGAACUUAAAGGAAUACUCCAGCGUUUUCCAAACUAAUUUUCAUACGUCACAUGGACACGGUAAACGGGCGGUUACCACACAAUCGAUUCACUCGAUAUUUCCCGUGUAAACAGGAAAGUUCUCGACGACUGCCGUUACAUUCAAGCAAACUUUCAAGAACUUUUUUUUUCAAGGUUUUCUGCUCUUUUCCAGACACUGGUCGACAUUCUCGUCUGUAUUAUUUAUCCCCACAGGAUGAAGUAGACUGGAUUAUUCCUUUAAUGCCGGAGUGAUGUGCACUGGUAGAACCCUGGACUUUUCUCCCAUUUCUUUAAAGAAAUCCACCUCUAUUUAUAGGAUAAGCAGCUUUCCCCCCUCGACAGCUUGACACGCCGUGACGUCUCUGUUUUUGCCUUUUUGUAGAAAAUGUGUGUGUGUGCGCGUGUGUGUGUGUGUGUGUGUGUGUGUGCGGGUUCACAGCUGCACGGCAAAUGCCUCACAGCUGGAGGGAUGGUGUGCGAGGCUAUAAUCCAUGAUCAUGCCCGAGCACACAUACGCACGCAUGAAUGCAUGCUCAUGCACCCCCACACUCUUGGUAACCAUACAUGCUGUGUGUGUGUGUGUGAGUGUGUGUGUGUGUGUGUUUGUUUGUGUGCGUGUUCUCUCAGCGACAUGCUUCAGUCACAAGCAUCUGUAGCUGAAUCUCAUUUCCUUGAUAUUAUUCGCACCGUCGCAUACGCCGAGAGCACACAGCCUACAGUCGCAUUAGGAUGCAUCCCUGCAAGAUUUGCAUAAAUUAACCCUCAUUUGAAAUUGAUCCAGAAUGUUAAAGCUUCGAAAAUAGAUCCCAAUCUUUCUAUCUACAAUGUUAAUGGCUGUAGCGUAUGCAAUGUUCGAUCUCUGUGAGGAUGUGACUGUACACAACUAUACGGUGGAAUUUUGCAUUACAACGUUAUAAAUACUGUGGAUUGACAUUUGUUUAUUCUCAGAAUAUGGAGACAGAUUUUUUUAAGAAGCUCCACAUGACAAUCAUUGUACAACUAAAGUUCAAUGAGGGGUGUAUAUAUAUAUAUAUAUAUAUAUAUAUAUACAUGCACAUCGAAUUCUGUUAAAGGUCUAUAUUCGGGUUGCAGCCAUAUUCCGAAUAUGAUGUUUACAUGUGUACAGGCAUCGGAAUGUUCAUGUAUACAUGGUUGGUGUACAACCCCAAUUCCAAAAAAUUUGGGACACUGGGUGAAAUGUAAAUAAAAACAGAACGCAAUGAUUUGCAAGUCCCAUAAACCCAUAUGUUAUUCACAAUAGAACAGAGUAAAUGUACUGAGUAAAUGUACCAUUUUAAGAAACAAACAAGGUCACUUUCAUGACCGCAACAGGUCUCAAAAAAGUUGGGACGGGGCCAACAAAAGGCUGGAGAAGUAAGUGUUACUAAAAAGAAACAGCUGGGGGAACAUUUUGAAACUAGUUAGGUUAAUUGGCAGCAGGUCAGUAAGAUGAUUGCGUAUAAAAAGUAUCUUAGAGAGGCAGAGUCUCUCGGAAGUAAAGAUGGGAUGGAAUCUGGAUAGAAGCAGAUGUUGCUCUAAAACCUGUAUGUACCUUUCAGCAUUGAUGGUGCCUUUCCAGAUGUGCAAGCUGCCCAUUCCAUAGGCACUAAUGCACCCCAUACCAUCAGAGAUGCAGGCUUUUGAACUGAGCACUGAUGAAAAGCUGGAUGGUCCCUCUCCUUGUCCAUGGUUUCCAAAAAGAAUUUCAAAUUUUGAGUCGUCUGACCACAGAACAGUUUUCCACUUUGCCUCAGUCCAUUUUAAAUGAGCUUUGGCCCAGAGAAGACGGCGGCGUUUCUGAAUAUUGUUCACAUAUGGCUUCUUCUUUGCAUGAUAGAGCAUCAACCAGCAUUUAUAGAUGGCACAGAGAACUGUGUUCACAGAUGACUCCCUCAGUUGUCCUCAGUGUGAAAAGGUGAACCUUAACAUCAUACAGCCGCUGUUGGAAAGGGGUCAAAUACGCAGAAGCUGGAAAAGUAAAGAAUGUGCAGGACCUGGAGGAUUUUUCUGAAGAACAGCGGGCAGUUUAAUUGCUCAGGACAAACAAGGGACUCAUGAAGAACUCUCACAAAACAGAAAAACAUCAUGUCAUUGAUCAUCCAGGUAACGACACACAGUAUUAAUAAUCAAGCGUGUGUAAACUUCUGAACUGGUUCAAUUGUGUAAAUUCAGUUAUUAUUGUGUUUUGUGGACUUUAUGUAAAUAUAUGUUAUGUGAAAUAGUUUAUUCAGGGCAGAGCUAAUAAAACACAAAAUUCUAUUUUCAUGAUGUCUUCUUCUUAAUUUUUUUAUUAUUAACAUUUUGCAGAUUCUGCAAGGCGUAUGUAAACUUAUGACCUCAACUGUAUGUGUAUCUAUAUCCAUGUUUCUAGCUGAAAUAUACAUAGCAAUGGUACAAAACAUGUAGCGAAUCUGACCACUCUGUCCAAGUACAUAUGACAGGGAACCAUGUGACUGUGUAGUAUACUAAAUGUUCAUUCGUAAAUACUGAAUAGUACUAUGAGAAUUAUAUACUGAUUCAGUAUACAAUUAUUUCAAACACAUUUCGUACACAGCACACGCUCGGCUCAUGUCUCAGGUGUUGCUGGUUGAACACGGCUGGUAUUGUGAAAGGUCCCUACAGUGAACAUUAGCUCUAAAGACAGGGUGGCCUUCACAAGUGCCUGACUAUAAUAGCUCAGCCACCACACAUAUACAUGCACACAACUGAUAAUGCUGCGUUGCUAUGGGAGACCAGUCUCGAAGGUUUGUUGGAUUGAGGGGAGAUGCUUCCCGAGAUCUUUUCUCAGUGUCUGUCUGUUUUCAAUGAGAAUAAUCUGCCUCUAAAGCAGUGUGACACUUAUAGAGUACACAUUAGGAUCUAUACGCAGUAGAAUCUGAUCCGAGAUGAACAUCCUUACACGCGUUAUCGAUACAGCUUCUUGCGUAACUGUUACGAGCGAGAACGAAAUGAAUCAAAAUGAGCUCCGUGUGAAUUUCAAGUAGAGAUGGGCGAUGUAAAACGAUAUGGAUACUGCGAUAAAUACAAACUAAUCAUACAAACUCGUAAGUCAUAUGAAGGUUAGGGGAGGGGUUUGUUUCCCACCUUUUCCUGUGACUCCUUUUACAGUUUGGAAUCAAACAACAACCAACCCUCAUUCGUUUGAAUGCAUUAAUCUGGUCAGUAUAUCAUCAGUAUUUAUACAACAUCGAUUAAUUACAUUAUUACAGUAGCAGCUGAUUGGAUGUUGAAAUGCAUUUUCGCUUUAGCAAUUGUUUCAUUUUUACUCCUGUUCCUGAUUAGACGGUAUAUUUUUAUACUAUUUUUAAACAAAGAAAGCAAUGCACUUAUGAUUUUUUUUGAAGAUAAUUUUUACACUACUGUUUUGCCGGCCCAUUGCAGAAUAAUUAAAUAUUGUGAUCAAUAUUGUACAUCGUGAUUUUUUUUUAGAUUUACAUUGCCGACGCUUACUUCCGUCGGUUUAAAUCGGCAAGAAAGGCUGCGUCGGGUUUGAGAGAGUACGACGGAUUCACUAUGUCAAUAACACACGAGUGGCAACAAAGCAAGGUGACGUUUUUUUGUCACGCUUGCUGUAUGCCCAGAUCCUGAAAGGGUAUUGUGACAAUCAAGAGGUGCUUUCACACCAUAUCCACAACACAUACACAGGCGUUUACACAACUAACACACACCCUGUCUCUGAUUCAUGGGGGAGGAGUCAUUAGUGUCUUUCCAGAAGCUUCUGUGGACCAAUAAACAGUAGCAGUCAAGCAAGACGGAUCUGAAUUCAUCACUGUCUCUCUCUCUCUCUCUCUCUCUCUCUCUCUCUCUCUCUCUCUCUCUCUCCCUCCUUCCCUCCCUUUCUAUCUCUCUCUUUCUGUCUGUCUCUCUGUCUCACACUCCCCCACCCCCAUGCUUCAUUUUCUCUGUCUCUGUAGUUGUGAGCAGCUCCCUGAUGAGUCACCUACUCCUCUGUCAUCUGAACACGACCACUGCUGCAGAGAGAGAGAGAGAGAGAGAGAGAGAGAGAGAGAGAGAGAGAGAGCAAGUGGGAGAAUGACAGAAAGCAAGAGAGUGGGAAGAGAGAAAAGAGAAAGAGAGGUAGCAUCUUUUUUCUCUGUCACCUCUACAGUGUCCUCACACAACAGCCCCCCCUCUCUACGCACACACACAUGCCACCCAAACUCUACAAACAUCACCAUCAAAUUUCAAGAUGCGCAUUUCCAUUUUUUCCAUUCACCUCUCUCUCUCUCUCGCUCUCUCUCUCUCCCUCUCUCUCUCUCUCUCUCUCUCUCCCUCUCUCUCUCUUUCUGUCUGUCUCUCUCACGCAUGCUCUUUCAGAAUCAAAUUUCUAAGAUCCUGCGCGGAUCAAAUUCGUUUUGUCGCUUUGUGCAUAAAGGAACGGAAGGGAGCACAGCAGAGUCAUCUAAAAUAUCGGUGAAACGGAAAGCAGGCUCCUCCAGCAGAGCGGCUAAAUUAUGGAAAUAGAUAAAUAAAUAAUCAUAAAGCUCUCUGUAUCAUUUCCACACAACUGUGACUAAUCAGUGGUGUGGGUGUGUAUAUGUGUGUUCAGAAGAGUCUUGGAAGAGGAGCUGGUGAGAGGUACAUGUAUUGCAGUGGCAACAUAUAUAUAUAUAUAUAUACACACAAUUCAAUAUACACUUCAAAUCAAAUUCACAUACAACCGUACACAGUAUGACGUGCAGUGAAAGGAUUUUUUCUUCUGUCCUUG
ensembl:lncRNA